rnacentral:misc_RNA from 1 species
GAAAUGCGAUAAGUAAUGUGAAUUGCAGAAUUCAGUGAAUCAUCGAAUCUUUGAACGCACAUUGCGCCCGGCAGCAAUCUGCCGGGCAUGCCUGUCCGAGCGUCAUUUCUGCCCUCGAGCGCGGUUCGGCCCCUAGCGGGCCGGCCGCCGCCCGGUGUUGGGGCGCUGCGGGCCCUCGUGCCCGCAGGCCCUGAAAUGAAGUGGCGGUCCCGCCGCGGCGCCCCCUGCGUAGUAGUAAAGCACCUCGCAUCGGGUCCCGGCGGAGGCCAGCCGUCGAACCUCUCUUUUGAUGGUUUGACCUCGGAUCAGGUAGGGUUACCCGCUGAACUUAAGA